UACGGAGGGUGCAAGCGUUAUCCGGAAUCACUGGGUUUAAAGGGUGCGUAGGCGGCGUCAUAAGUCAGAGGUGAAAUCCUGCAGCUUAACUGUAGAAUUGCCUUUGAUACUGUGGUGCUUGAAUAAGGUUGAGGUAAGCGGAAUGUGGCAUGUAGCGGUGAAAUGCUUAGAUAUGCCAUAGAACACCGAUUGCGAAGGCAGCUUACUGGACCUUUAUUGACGCUGAGGCACGAAAGCGUGGGGAGCGAACAGG
rnacentral:misc_RNA from 1 species